AUGUUAAAACUGAAGAAGAAUGGGCUUUUUUGUGCACUUAUUUUUCUAGUGAAGAUUUUCAGAUUGUUUCAGAGAAAAAUUCUAUUAAUAGGUCACAUUUGAAAUAUCACCAUAAAGCAGGGUCGAAGUCUUUUAUGUCGCAUCAAGAACAGAUUGCUGCACAAUCAGGGGAGAUGCUAGGUGCAAUUGAACGCUUUGAAAUGGAGUACAAAAGCAUUAAAAAAGGUUGGGACUUGGGAGCGAAAGAAUUAUGGGAUCAAAUGGUUAAGAUGCGAACUGAGACAACCCUUCCUGAUGGGACUCGAACUAUGAAUGAUGAUGAAAUAUGUGCAAAGGUUCUUGGAGUAAAAUCAGGCUACAUCAAGGGUUGUG
rnacentral:lncRNA from 1 species